rnacentral:rRNA from 1 species
GCGGGACACGUGGUAUCCUGUCUGAAUAUGGGGGGACCAUCCUCCAAGGCUAAAUACUCCUGACUGACCGAUAGUGAACCAGUACCGUGAGGGAAAGGCGAAAAGAACCCCGGCGAGGGGAGUGAAAAAGAACCUGAAACCGUGUACGUACAAGCAGUGGGAGCCUCUUAAUGGGGUGACUGCGUACCUUUUGUAUAAUGGGUCAGCGACUUAUAUUCUGUAGCAAGGUUAACCGAAUAGGGGAGCCGAAGGGAAACCGAGUCUUAACUGGGCGUUAAGUUGCAGGGUAUAGACCCGAAACCCGGUGAUCUAGCCAUGGGCAGGUUGAAGGUUGGGUAACACUAACUGGAGGACCGAACCGACUAAUGUUGAAAAAUUAGCGGAUGACUUGUGGCUGGGGGUGAAAGGCCAAUCAAACCGGGAGAUAGCUGGUUCUCCCCGAAAGCUAUUUAGGUAGCGCCUCGUGAAUUCAUCUCCGGGGGUAGAGCACUGUUUCGGCAAGGGGGUCAUCCCGACUUACCAACCCGAUGCAAACUGCGAAUACCGGAGAAUGUUAUCACGGGAGACACACGGCGGGUGCUAACGUCCGUCGUGAAGAGGGAAACAACCCAGACCGCCAGCUAAGGUCCCAAAGUCAUGGUUAAGUGGGAAACGAUGUGGGAAGGCCCAGACAGCCAGGAUGUUGGCUUAGAAGCAGCCAUCAUUUAAAGAAAGCGUAAUAGCUCACUGGUCGAGUCGGCCUGCGCGGAAGAUGUAACGGGGCUAAACCAUGCACCGAAGCUGCGGCAGCGACACUAUGUGUUGUUGGGUAGGGGAGCGUUCUGUAAGCCUGUGAAGGUGGCCUGUGAGGGUUGCUGGAGGUAUCAGAAGUGCGAAUGCUGACAUAAGUAACGAUA